UCUGGAAAUGAAGACUUCUUUUACCGCCCCAGUCUGAAAAUUCAUGACUGAUUGGUACCAAUUCUGAUCCAGA